CAGUGGGGGAUAUUGGACAAUGGGGGGAACCCUGAUCCAGCGACGCCGCGUGAGUGAAGAAGUAUUUCGGUAUGUAAAGCUCUAUCAGCAGGGAAGAAAGAAAUGACGGUACCUGAGUAAGAAGCCCCGGCUAACUACGUGCC
rnacentral:rRNA from 1 species